GUCCUCUGUGCCGCAAUUACAGCAUUAGCAUUGAGCUUUUCAGACUUGAUAACAGAUUCUAAUUUUAUCCCAUCUGGGUUAUUGUGGGGAUUUUUUUCAUUCGUGGAGGUGGCUUUUCCUUCGUCAUUGCUAGUAGGAGCUUAAAAGGUUUUCUUUGCUACUAAGACCAACUGCUGCUUUCUUCUCCUCCAGGACAAUGUAUCAGCAGUUCUCUGGAUAAAUUGUGUAGAAGGCAAUCAUUUGGAAACUCUUGCCAAGCUGGGGAGUUUCCGGGAAGUACCACACAGUCUUCAGCUAUCAUCGGGAGCUUUGCGAGGGCCGUGGAUGGAAGUUAAUCAUUCAUUAAACUACAAUAUGGCUUGCAAGGCUUGGGAAUGAGAUGUACUGCACAGCUGCAUAUAUUCCUCAUCUGCAGGUAGAAAUCCCCCUAAAGAAGCCUUUUUGGAAGGUCUAAUUUGCAGCAUCAAAGAGGAAAACUUGCAUGAUAACAUGGAAACAAUUACUAGAAGUCAGCUGCAUCCCCUAACUUCUGGAAUGUAAUACUUGACGGCAAAGUUGGUACAGUAACAUUUUUCCAUAGCAUUGUAUCCAAAUUGCUCAGCAGAUUAGACUGACAGUAAGAAUGAUAUCCUCUCAACUGUCUCUGACUAAGCAAUUGCUAACUGGGUCUUCGGCAAACAUGAAUGACACGUUUCACCAACGAGACUUUUAACCAGCUUGCUUGUUCACUAAAAGUUUCUCUGCUGGGCACAAGACAGCAAGGGAAUUUAGAUAUCCUGGUAUCUAACCACCUGAGCAUUUGCUAAAGCAUAUGUGCUCUGUGAUCGUGCAAUAGCAUUGCGUACCCUUAGUAGCCAGCACUUGAAUGCAGUAAACCCAAAGGAUUUUCAGAACAGCUUGAGUUCAAGCAUCCUACAUUUCCGAUAGAACUUGCCGACGCUUGAGAUCCCUUGAAGAAGGAACCUGUAACAACUUGUCUGACAGCAUCAGCCACAUGUCUCUAUAAAACAUGGAUUGAUAUACGGCAGCAGACCUGGGCUGACAGUGCAUGUGCUCAAAGCGUCCACAGACCAAGAAGGCACAGUUUUGGACAUGUGUGCUGGGAGCUGACAAGAGGUUGGCUUUCCCCCCUGCUGUGGUCCAGAACUCAGCCGAGGCCUGCGCCUGAUCAUGUCUGUGCAGACUAUCGGUUUUAGAUGUCUGGUGAUCUAAACUUGAUCUCAAACCUGAAAUAUAAUUUAGACAAGGAACCUGACUUUGAAACUACUGCUUCUCUAGUAAAGCGUACAACUCUAGGGUUAACAGCCCCCUAAACUGCCUAAAAAUGACCUAAAAUGGUAUUUUUGAAAAAGCCAGCCUACAAUUCUCCAAGAUGCGUUGGAGAUCUCUUACGGAGUCACGAGAGGCAGACUGUUCUGCCCUCAGCUUUUCUCUGAAGAACAUGUCUAAGACCCAUUGAAACUGCAAAAGGAUCAUCUGAAGAUUGAACUUCAAACCCUUUCUCAUGCAAAUUGUGUAAUUCUCAAUGCUGUGUGCAGUUCUGAAACUGAGCUUGGGAAAACCUUCAUCCAAAGCCAAGUGCAAUCAUUACCACCAACCCAAGGGUUUUGUCUGAAUGAGCAUUUAAUGAUUGAAUCCAGUGGGAUUAUUCCUAUGAAAAAGCUAUUCUAGCCCUCAGGUCCACAAAAUUAAGCCUUCUGAGCAGAGCAGGAAGACGAUGACCAUCCCAUCCCUUUGUUUUCUUGAGCAUUGACCUUGGAAGAAGGAGGCCUAGAAGACUCAAAUCUUCCAUUUUCUAUUUAGAUAUCUUCUUUACAGGGAUCUGUUCUUCACUUCAGACUAGAAGACAGAUCUACAGAAGGUACCUGAUGGACUGAGUCAUCAUUUCUGACAUUACAUUGAAGAGAUUUGUAAUACAAGCAUAAAGAUAUGUAUGAGUGGGACGAUCUGAAUGACAGUGGAAGCACCAAAACCGAUACCAAAAGCAGGUUAUAGCAAUGGCAUAGUUUAACAGCAUCCAGAUUAGCAGGUUAUCAAGAUCUCAGCACAUUUCUGUGCAGCUUCUCAGCACUUCUGGGCCUAAGAAAAGGUAUCAAGCCAUGAGGAGACAAAGGUGAGAAGAACUGGACUGAAGCCCUGUGACACCUGGAUAAGGAGAAGAAAUGGUGAACAGAGGAUAGUGACUCCUGGAGGUGGGAUAUUUUAGAGAGACAAAACUUCCUAAUCAUUAUCAACUCUGAAAGAAAAAAAAGGCUUAUGCAAAGCCAGCACCUGGUCAGUAACCUCAGCAGAAUCCAGGAGGUGCAGGGAGGCCUCAAUAGCCACCAUCCCUCCUCUUCUGCGUCAUCGUAGCAAAGCGUGGCUGUCUGGACUGCGUGAACAUAUGCCAGGUGGUAUGAGAUACGGUGAAUGAAACCAAUUUUCCUUUAAAAUAAAAUCACCUUCCCUUCCUAGGAGGCUCAUACAGAGCUUUGCUAUGUUGUUGCUAUAAUAUUAGCUGCAAUGAAAUGUUUGAGGCCAAAAGUGGGGUCCUGAGCACUACCCAUCUAACUUUGGAGUACAUAAAAUGCCUGGGUUCCUCAGUAUUAAACACUUUAAAGUCUGCUCCUACCCAGCGCAGAGAUCUGAGUCCAAUCAAGGCUGAGUAGCUUCACACUGAGCUACUAAUGCCUAAGUCCUGGGAGAAUAGGCAGUUUAGACAUCUCUCUGCCUGUGGAGCAGACAUUACGAAAAAACCAUCAAGAGCUGAGAAGAGAAGAUGGAGUAGUUGCAUUUCCCUUACCAUUUUAAUAUGGUAUCUGAGUUCUUAGAGGAGUAACUUCAAGGGAAUUAACUUUCAUGUCAUGCUGUCCGGGAGUCUGCCUUGACACCACAUUGUAACUUUAAAUUUCUCCUGUUGUUAAGAAAAUGAAUAAGCUAAGAGAAAGAAUCAGAAAGCAAAUAUGCAUAAAUCUGUAGGCUGUUAAAGUGGUAUGAAGGAGUUCUCUAGUUCCACUGUGAUCCAGUAAUAGCAUGUGCAUUUUAUUCAAAGGUUGCUUAGCAUAAAAUCUCCAAAAGGCACUGGAGCAGAGAAUGGAAAUGAGGUAUCUUCAUUUUCCUGGUGAAUUCCUUGAUAUCCUUACCUGUAUUUUUUUUUUUUUUUGGCCCAGCAAUAUAUUCUAUCUGUUCUGCAAAAGCAUCAGUGAAAGAGUCUGAGUCUUUUCUAUGAAAUGUGGAAUAGCAGGCACUAUGCUGCUUAAGGCACUUUUUUCACAGGUUAGAAAUGGGGGAUUGAGACUACUCAGUCAAGGCAGAGAACUGAAACCGUAUCUCCCAUAUAAAGGCUGAGUAUUGUGAAGAGUGGAGUAGUAAGAACAUCUAAGGAAACAGUAUUUAUUUCAUCAGGAUUUGAAUGAUAACACAAUGCUUUGUUGGUUCAUGGAAGAAAGGCUGGUCAACCUACUUUAUGAAGCAGGUUCAGAAUGAUGAAAUCUUAAUGGUCAAGAGAGACAAAGUUUAACUUGUUUCACUCUUCAUAGUGCUACCUGUAGUUUAAAACACCAGGCCAGUGUGCUGGCAGUGCUGAUUUCCUGGAUUGGGACCUCAAAGUCCAUUUUUUGAAGUACAAUGUUUUUCAGUAUGUUUAAAAAAAAACAAAACAAACUCAUUAUUCAGCAGAUUUUUCUGCAUGCGUUCAAUUGCAGCUGCCUAUUCUUGAGACAAAAGUAAUUUUGUGGCUUUUUGGUUUGUUUUUCUUGCUGCUUGUUUCUCCCAGGACAGUGCCAAAGCUGAAUUCUGCCUUACCUUAUAUAUCAUGUAGAAGUGCUGGUCACGUUCAAGGUGAACCUAACGGGAACCAAAGGGAAGCUGAUACUGUUCCAUAGGGUCAUUGGUACACGUGAAGCCUGGAGCUAGUGUAGCUUUCAGAUCCAAACAGAGGAAUUUGCAGGACUUGAUUAAAAGGCAGCCUUAGCUUAUUAAUAGCAUUUGUAAACAGAGCUCGUUUACCUUCUAGUGAUCUUCAUAUCGAAUGCUGAACAACGGAACAAUACUUUAGAACAACGGAACAAUACUUUAAAGAAGUGCUUUAAGACCAUGACUCCUGCAAACACCUCUAAACAAGCUGAAUUCUUCAACAGGGCAGACAAGACCGUGACAUGGUGUCCCAAUUUACUUCUUUCCUGUUGUUCAGAUUAAUUUGAAAUGUAGCAAUCAAUAAUCCAAUUUACGUCUCAGCCAGCGCCUUUUUGUGUCUACAGUUUCCCAUUAGGACCUCACUUAUUGCAGCCCUUUCUCCACCGAGAGCAGCUCCCACCCCUUUGAUAGCCUGGGAGGGCUAAUGAGCCUCUCCAGCUGCCACGAGGGAGUGGGAUCCCCGCUGCUCUGGACAGGGUUUGGGGUGGGUGAGCAGAAAAGCCCUACCACCUGAUGUCGGUUCUGCUCGGCAGAUUUUGUAUCUCUGUUUACACGCCGCUCUGCUAUAAUUGACAGUUCUGUCAUCGUUUCUUCACCAUCUUUGACUGUAUUGUUAUAGCUGCAUGCAUACUAUAGAUUGGGAAGAAUCCUUGCUCAUCACAGCUGCCGUUUUCCUUUUCUCCAGUUCUUCUUGUUCCUUUUUUCCUAUGCUUUUAGUAGUGUAAGUCAUGCUGCUUAUAUUGCAUAUGCAUUGACAGAUUUUUUGACUGACAUGCCAAUUAAUUCAGAGGAAAGGAAAAAAAGAACAUUUUUGUUCCUGACGCUUCUUUAUUUUUAUCUUUGCGUGCCAUCUUUGACAGGCUUUAAAAUCUUAUUCAUAUUAAAAAAGCAUC